UGUAGACAGUUUCAAUGGCAAUGCAAUUGGUGGCAACAGCUUCGACAAUAAUGCGAACAGCUUUGCAGCUGACCCAGGAAGUGUAGACAGUUUCAAUAACAAUGCAAUUGGUAGUAACAGCUUUGACGGCAA
rnacentral:lncRNA from 11 species